UUUCCUGUGGCUCAGUUGUAGAGCAUUGCGCAAACAACGCAACGGUUGUGGGUUCAAAUCCCAGGGAAAG
rnacentral:tRNA from 1 species